GACGAGCCACACGAACGUUAUUCGGAAUUACUGGGCUUAAAGGGUGCGUAGGCUGCGCGGAAAGUUGGGUGUGAAAUCCCUCGGCUCAACCGAGGAACUGCGCCCAAAACUGCCGUGCUCGAGGAAGAUAGAGGUAAGCGGAACUUACGGUGGAGCGGUGAAAUGCGUUGAUAUCGUAAGGAACACCUGUGGCGAAAGCGGCUUACUGGGUCUUUUCUGACGCUGAUGCACGAAAGCUAGGGGAGCAAACGGGAGU
rnacentral:rRNA from 1 species